UCAUCUGAGCUUAAACUUCCAUCAUGAUUUGUGUCAAAAACAUGGAACACAAGUUCUAUCAUGUUGUCAGUGAUAGAGACUCCACAUGCUUGAGAAGCAGCUCUUUUAAAAUCACUUCUAGUCAAAAGACCAUUCACUUGCCCGAAACAGAAAAGUGCCAACGAAAACGGUUGCAAUUUCUUCCGUAGCUCAGCAAAACUUUUGAAUUCCUCAAAUGAAAUACGAAUAUGACUUAGUUGUGGCUCAUUAUCUAAAUCAUCAACUCGAGCAAGCAACUUGUGUAAAUACUUUAAAUCAGCAGAAGCAACCAUGGACAGGGCAAAAUCCUUUGCGGAAAUAGUCCCCCGAAACUUGUAAUCAUAGUGGACAAACUCCAAUUUUAGUAUUUCUUCAUGUAGAUCUCUCAAGAAUUGAACAAAUGUAUCAUACUGGAGGCGUUUCUUCCCAUCUUCACCAAAGAAGUCUUGUAAUAGGCCUCCACUGUCUAUAUGACCACCUAGAUUAUGCCCUCCUCGAUGUCCAUCACUGUGAUGAGCACCUUGCCUGUUGUGAGCUCGCAUCAAAGUCAUUACUUUCUUGAAUUCAUCAAUGUCUAUCUCUCCAUUACAGUCGAGGUCAAACAUCUUGAAUGCCACUGAAAAACUUGAUUCAGGGAUACUCAGCAGGGUGACAAAGAAAAUAUACUCUUUAAAAGAGAUGUGGCCAUCAUUAUUUGUGUCAAAAAGCAUAAAAAAUUUUGAUGGGGCACAUCGCAAUUCACCCGGAUUUCUUUCACCUCUGAGAUAUCCAUCUCUCACGAGGUGUGAUUCAGAUGGAGGGAACACCGGAACAACUGCUCUCAUUAGAUCUGCUGGUGUCAUAAAUAUUUCUCCAUCAUGGGCUUCAAAAGAUGCAAAGUACUCAAACACCUUUUCAGGAGGACUUCGCAUCCUAAUACGCUUUUCAUAAUUAAAGAAUACUUUUCUUCUGUAAGCAUCUCCAAAGAGAUAGCUUGGUCGAGAUUGUGAUGUGUGGGAAAAAGAGAAAGAUGGGUAAUUUGGUGAAGAAUAGUUAUAGGAGUAAUAUGCGAAAGCUAAAGUGGAACUGGUAAUGAUUCCACCAAUCCAUUUGAGGAAAGAUAUUGAACUACUUUUUGGAUCCUGCUGACCAUCAGUUCUACUUAAAUGGCUAAAAUGGCGGAGUUGGGUUGUGAUCGAUGGUGUACAUCGCCGGAGAUCCGACCAAGAUGGCAUACUUUACUUCAAAACCAGACAACCUGAU
rnacentral:misc_RNA from 1 species